AGUGCCUUUCUGGUUCUCCUGAGAGCUAAAGGAGAGACAUACGAAGAAGUAAGUCAAGCUAGGCGUAUACAAAAAACAUACAUAAUUCUAAAUUAUAGCACUUCACUAAGUAAAGCACUUCACUAAGUAAACAAACGAUGUUGGGUAGAUUGUGGGGUUGGCUAGGGCAAUGAUGAAGCAUGCCAGGAAAGUGGAAGGAUUAGUCGAUGCUAUGGACAUAGUUGGAACAGGUGGUGAUGGAGCAAACACAGUCAAUAUAUCAACUGGAUCUUCAAUACUUGCUGCAGCUUGUGGUGCAAAAGUAGCAUAAGGUAAUAGAGGAUUAAGCUACAGAUUAAUGGAGAAAAGAAGCUGGCUUUCAAUGAGUUUUUGAAAGACCCAUCUGGCAUGGAGGCUGUGAUCAACGCUAAGGCUUUGCAGAGUUAUCAUUUAGUUGAAGAUACUGAUGAUACUUACAUCAGGUACAAGCAUGAACUAAGAUCCUGAGUUUUACAGCUUUUAUGCUCCAAGUAUAUAUGAAAAUGUUCAUGUUGCAGAGGUUUGAACAAAAAUCUCAAGAUUCUGAGUCAUUACCACUUGUUCCCACCACCAAAACGUUUCUCAGGCGAUUCAUUCAAGCAGCACAAGCGUCUCACAAGGUGGUUCCCGAUAUGGAGAUGGAGUUUCUAGCAAACCAAGUUAUAAACGUGUUUAC